rnacentral:rRNA from 1 species
AGAGUUUGAUCAUGGCUCAGGAUGAACGCUAGCGGCAGGCCUAAUACAUGCAAGUCGAACGGUAAGUGUUUUAGCAAUAAGACACCAAGAGUGACGCACGGGUGCGUAACACGUAUGCAACCUACCCUUUACAGGCGGAUAGCUCGGGGAAACUCGAAUUAACCCGCCAUAAUAUAAUUGGAUGGCAUCAUUUGAUUAUUAAAACUGAGGUGGUAAAGGAUGGGCAUGCGUCUGAUUAGUUAGUUGGUAGUGUAACGGACUACCAAGACGAUGAUCAGUAGGGGAACUGAGAGGUUGAUCCCCCACACUGGCACUGAGAUACGGGCCAGACUCCUACGGGAGGCAGCAGUAGGGAAUAUUGGUCAAUGGGUGAGAGCCUGAACCAGCCAUGCCGCGUGCAGGAAGAAGGCCUUCUGGGUUGUAAACUGCUUUUGCCAGGGGAUAAAAAUACCUUGCGAGGUAAAUUGAAGGUACCUGGUGAAUAAGCCACGGCUAACUACGUGCCAGCAGCCGCGGUAAUACGUAGGUGGCAAGCGUUGUCCGGAUUUAUUGGGUUUAAAGGGUGCGUAGGCGGCCCUGUAAGUCAGUGCUGAAAUAUCCCAGCUUAACUGGGAGGGUGGCAUUGAUACUGCGGGGCUAGAGUACAGAUGAGGUAGGCGGAAUUGACGGUGUAGCGGUGAAAUGCUUAGAUAUCGUCAAGAACACCUAUAGCGAAGGCAGCUUACUAGGCUGUAACUGACGCUGAGGCACGAAAGUGUGGGGAUCAAACAGGAUUAGAUACCCUAGUAGUCC